rnacentral:pre_miRNA from 1 species
AUGAUACUCCCUCCGUCCCAAAAUUUUUGUUUUAGAUUUGUCUAAAUACGGAUGUAUCAAGUCACAUUUUAGUAUUAGAUACAUCCGUAUCUAGACAAAUCAAAGACAAGAAUUUUGGGACGGAGGGAGUACUAU